GCAAGUCGAGCGCAUCCUUCGGGAUGAGCGGCGGACGGGUUAGUAACGCGUGGGAACAUACCCAACUCUAAGGAAUAGCCACUGGAAACGGUGAGUAAUACCUUAUACGCCCUUUGGGGGAAAGAUUUAUCGGAGAAGGAUUAGCCCGCGUUAGAUUAGGUAGUUGGUGGGGUAAUGGCCUACCAAGCCUACGAUCUAUAGCUGGUUUGAGAGGAUGAUC
rnacentral:rRNA from 1 species